UACGAAGGGGGCUAGCGUUGCUCGGAAUCACUGGGCGUAAAGGGUGCGUAGGCGGGUCUUUAAGUCAGGGGUGAAAUCCUGGAGCUCAACUCCAGAACUGCCUUUGAUACUGAGGAUCUUGAGUUCGGGAGAGGUGAGUGAAACUGCGAGUGUAGAGGUGAAAUUCGUAGAUAUUCGCAAGAACACCAGUGGCGAAGGCGGCUCACUGGCCCGAUACUGACGCUGAGGCACGAAAGCGUGGGGAGCAAACGGG
rnacentral:rRNA from 1 species